rnacentral:rRNA from 1 species
UGGGGAAUAUUGGACAAUGGGCGCAAGCCUGAUCCAGCCAUGCCGCGUGAGUGAUGACGGCCUUAGGGUUGUAAAGCUCUUUCGCCAGGGACGAUAAUGACGGUACCUGGAUAAGAAGCCCCGGCUAACUUCGUGCCAGCAGCCGCGGUAAUACGAAGGGGGCUAGCGUUGUUCGGAAUUACUGGGCGUAAAGGGUGCGUAGGUGGUUCGGCAAGUCUUGUGUGAAAUCUUCAGGCUCAACUUGAAGUCUGCACAAGAAACUGCCGGGCUUGAGUAUGGGAGAGGUGAGUGGAAUUUCCGGUGUAGCGGUGAAAUGCGUAGAUAUCGGAAGGAACACCUGUGGCGAAAGCGGCUCACUGGACCAUUACUGACACUGAGGCACGAAAGCUAGGGGAGCAAACAGGAUUAGAUACCUUGGUAGUCCUAGCCCUAAACGAUGAUCGCUUGGUGUGGCGGGUAUCCAACCCUGCCGUGCCGAAGCUAACGCGUUAAGCGAUCCGCCUGGGGAGUACGGUCGCAAGGCUG